rnacentral:lncRNA from 10 species
AGAAGAUACAGUUAAAACAGCAAGAGAAGCUCCGCUGUGCCAUCCAAGGGCCGCCUGGAUGAAUUCGACUUUGUAAGGACAGCGUCUUUUCCUGUGGCCCGUGACAGGGAGCUGUUGGCGAGGCAGCUUGAUUUUACAAAAUCAUGGUCCCAGUAAGAUUUUCAGAGAUGUCAACAAUGGACAGUGCAAUGCUUCUCAAACAGAACGUUCGGAAAAACUUGCAAAUGGUCAAAUUUUCACAAGACCCAAACUGCCUAUUCUAGGACGAAUGCCGGCUCAUUGUUCACUGUGAAAAUGGCGUUCAACACCAGAGACUUUCUCGUGCCAAGCAGGCUCUCAGAUGGACAGCCCCAUGCCAGGGGGAUGUGUUGAUCCGAGGUCACACGGGCCAAGGAGCCUCUGGGGACAGGCCCAGCCUGCUGGGGAUGCCUGCCACCCCAGGAGCACCCAUUGACCUCAACCCGCCCACGAGCUUACAGAAGGCAGAAGCAGGAGGGAGUGCCAGUGACGUGUCUGGCCACUGCCUUACUUUUGCAGCCGUGUAUCAAAUGACCGAAGGCAUAGAAGCCGAAGCGGCACCCAGGUAUUAACUCACGGUUCCUGGGUCAGGAGUCGGCUCAGCUCAGCUGGCUUCUGUUCUUCAGGGUCUCCCAGGCUGCCAUCGGGGAGCCGGUGGUCACAUUCCCGUGCAGAGGCUGGACUGGGGCAGAACCCACUUCUGGGCCCACCCAGGUUGUUGGCAGAAUUCAUUUCCUUGCAGCUGCAGGAGUGAGCGCUUCAGGUGUUGGCUGGUUGUCAGCUGGGGCUCCCAAGCUCGCUCGGAGAGGUGCCUGCAGUCCACCUCCAGAGGCAGAGAGUCGCCGCGGCCAUUCUAGGGCAGCCCCAAAAUGGCUGCUUGCUUCACCAGUGCCAGCAGGGGAGCUGGAGCCUUACGCAGUGCCAGGGAGUGACAUCCUGGCCCCUUGCCACAUCCUACAGGAGGCUGAAGGGAGCCCUCCGGCCUGCUCCGCGAGGAUGCAGAGGACGCAGUAUUCCUCCGCUCGAGGUCACGGUAACAAGGCACCCUUGGAAGCAGAGAGCAGCCCUCACCAGACACAGAACCCAGCGCCUCCAUCUCGGACAUCCUUGCCUCCGGAAUUGUGAGCAACCCAUUUCUGUUGUCUGUUCAUUUCCCAGUCUCAGCAACUGAGGGACUCAGAUGUCGCCCUUCUGACAAAGCCCUGGGUACAUGUGCUGCUUAAUGAGAAUGUCCAAUUAUUUUCCAAUUACUGUGAGCAUCUACCUUACGCCACUGGAGUCAGCCAAUUCCUGCCCCUUUCCUGACAGUCACAGACACCCCACUGUCCUUGAGGAAGCAAGGGGCAUAGAUCCUGCUGUGUCCACGGGACACCGAGGUGCGGGGAUGUCUGGCGACCUGGGGACACUCGCUGUAAGUGACAGGGUGUGACCCUGUGGCCCUGGGCCAGGUGCCAGUGCCCAGGCUAGAUGGAGACUCGGCCAUAGGCUUCCAGAAGCUAACAGCCACAUUUCCCACGCCCAUGAUGCGCGCCCACCGGGGCUGGGGUGCCCCAGUGUCCCUUGUUCUAAGCUUGCACGUUUCCUCAGCCCGAGGCCUUGACCAUGUGGUUGUGGGUGGAACUGGGACUCACACUGUGGGGAAGGGGCACUGGGAGCUGGGUCGCUGCAGGUGUAAGAAGGCGCAGGAUGGGAACCGCUGAUCUGCAGGGCUGUGAGGCUCAUGCUCACUUGAUUCCUUAGAACUGAGAAUUGCCACUUUGCGCGCCUCCCAUCACAGGAGAGUCCAGGGCCUCCUGUGAGGCCCACACAGGUGCUCAAUCAAUGCUCAUGGCACUGCCCUGUGAGCUGCCCUGAGUCACAGGAUGCCUCCAGCUCUGGUUUGGAGCCUGGUCCCUGGCUCUGAGUCCCCACUCAGGCCCCCUCACGCCCAGCUGGGGCUCUGGAUUCUGCUGUGCCUCUGUCCUCCCGAGUCCUGAGGGGCUGAGAGUUCUGCACAACCCCCACCCUGCUACUCCAGCUCCCCCGUCUCCCCUCCUCACCUGCUCUGGGCUCCCUUCCACCCCAGCUCUGGCUGCCCCUGCACCUGAUGUGCUCCCCACAUCUAGUAUGCUCCCCCCACCUGAAGUGUUCCUCACCUGGAGUGCUCCCCCCACCUGAAGUGUUCCUCACCUGGGGUGCUCCCCCCACCUGAAGUGUUCCUCAUCUGGAGUGCUCCCCGCACCUGAGGUGUUCCUCACCUGGAGUGCUCCCCCCACCUGAAGUGUUCCUCACCUGGAGUGCUCCCCCCACCUGAAGUGUUCCUCACCUGGAGUGCUCCCCCCACCUGAAGUGUUCAUCUGGAGUGCUCCCCCCACCUGAAGUGUUCAUCUGGAGUGCUCCCCCCACCUGAAGUGUUCCGCAUCUGGAGUGCUCCCCCACCUGGAGUGCUCCCCACCUCCACCUGGAGUUUUUGCCCCACCUGGAGUGCUCCCUCUACCCAGAGUGCUCCCUCUACCUGCAGUGCCCCCCACCACCAGGAGUGCUCCAUUGCCUGCUGUUCUUCCUCCAGGUGAGUGAGCAACUAACCGCUUACCUUCUUAGGUCUUGCCCAGCCUGCACUUUCUAGGGAUCCUUCCAUGAUCAUCCCAUUUUGAUUCCUCUCUUCUCGUGGUGUCUCAUUUCCACGGCGUCUGUCAUUGUCAGUUGUACCCACGCUGUUGACUGACCAUCUCCACUGACACGGGUGCUGAGGAAGGCCUGUGUCUUCCGCAUCCUGGUGUCUGGGCCCCACCGGCGGGAACCCCAGUCCUAAGGUGCCAGCAUGUGUGCCCACGUGCCACACUGGGCUCACUCCUGUGAGCCUCCUCCCAGGGGCAGAGGGUGGGCAAGGAGUGUGUCCAGGAGGCUGAGUCGGGGCCCUCCAGGCCGGCACACGGGCCAGGUGGCUGAGGCAGGCCAGGUGGAGUCUGGGAAACAGGCCGGCUUCUGCCUGAUCAGGCAGGAAGGGGCUCCUGUGAGCGGGUGCCUUGUGGCUGGCUAGGAGCCUGGGGCAGGCUGUCCUGGGCCCCUGGAGGCUCCCCAGGUUCUGG